rnacentral:rRNA from 1 species
AUGAAGGCUUUUAUAUGGUUAGUUAUCAAAGGGAGGAUCCUGACCAAGGACAACUUGUGUAAAAAAGGCUGGAAAGGCACCAACAAAUGUGAAUUUUGUGGUGCCAAUGAAUGUAUUGAUCAUCUGUUUUUCACUUGCUCUUUUGCUCGGUUUUUAUGGAAUGUAGUUGGGAGUGCUUUGGGAAAUCCCCAAACACCCCUAUCAUUCUUUGACUUUUGCCAGAAGUGGCUUCCAUAG